AGCGAACGCUGGCGGCAGGCUUAACACAUGCAAGUCGAGCGGGCGUAGCAAUACGUCAGCGGCAGACGGGUGAGUAACGCGUGGGAACGUACCUUUUGGUUCGGAACAACACAGGGAAACUUGUGCUAAUACCGGAUAAGCCCUUACGGGGAAAGAUUUAUCGCCGAAAGAUCGGCCCGCGUCUGAUUAGCUAGUUGGUAGGGUAAUGGCCUACCAAGGCGACGAUCAGUAGCUGGUCUGAGAGGAUGAUCAGCCACAUUGGGACUGAGACACGGCCCAAACUCCUACGGGAGGCAGCAGUGGGGAAUAUUGGACAAUGGGGGCAACCCUGAUCCAGCCAUGCCGCGUGAGUGAUGAAGGCCCUAGGGUUGUAAAGCUCUUUUGUGCGGGAAGAUAAUGACGGUACCGCAAGAAUAAGCCCCGGCUAACUUCGUG
rnacentral:rRNA from 1 species